rfam:Cavia porcellus strain inbred line 2N cont2.20736, whole genome shotgun sequence.
GAGUGUCCCUUGCUCUGAACUACCACUUAGUUCUUGGACAGCAGGAUUAGCGAUGUGUAAUGACAACAUCAAAGUUUGGCCCAUGCUUCUUUAACCUGUGUAUCAUGGCAUCUUUACCCUAACAUGCAUGCUUAAAGCACCAAGGGGACGGCUUUUAAGGAAUGCACA